rnacentral:rRNA from 1 species
GCCUAACACAUGCAAGUCGAACGAAGCUCUGCGAUACAAGACUUCGGUCAAGUUGAACGGAUGACUUAGUGGCGGACGGGUGAGUAACGCGUGAGGAACCUGCCUUUCAGUGGGGGACAACAGUUGGAAACGACUGCUAAUACCGCAUAAUGUAUUCUGACCGCAUGAUCGGAAUACCAAAGCUGUAUUGCUGAAAGGUGGCCUCGCGUCUGAUUAGAUAGUUGGUGAGGUAACGGCCCACCAAGUCAACGAUCAGUAGCCGGACUGGGAGGUUGAACGGCCACAUUGGGACUGGGAGACGGCCCAGACUCCUACGGGAGGCAGCAGUGGGGAAUAUUGGGCAAUGGGGGAAACCCUGACCCAGCAACGCCGCGUGAAGGAAGAAGGCUUUCGGGUUGUAAACUUCUUUUACCAGGGACGAAGGACGUGACGGUACCUGGAGAAAAAGCCACGGCUAACUACGUGCCAGCCGCCGCGGUAA